UCCGAGUGGUCACACACCCUGGCAAGGAACACAUUUCUGAGAAUUUGAACAAAGAGAAACAGCAGGAAAAUGAGCUGGUGUGUGAACCUUGAUCAAGGCGAAGACUGAUGGAAUAAGAGUUCUGGAAGCACGUGUCCCAGGGAGAUGGAAUGGAACCCAGGUUCCUGGGCAUCUCCUGUCGGCUCCUUCCCUGUGGGGGUGAAGAUUGCUGCUUAAGAAAAAACUCAGGAGUGAGAGCUCAAGGCUGGACACACCUUCACAAGAGGUAGAACCUCAGCCCUCUCUCUUCCUUCUCACAAUCAGUAAAGAACCCCAGCUUUCCACUGAGCUUUAGACCUGUAAGGAUUCUACGUGAAGCUACAAUGUUCCUCCGUGGAUGAAGGAGAACUUCUGGAGGUUGCAAACAGAGGGAAGAAAAGAUGUGAGGCUCAGACCCAUCUCAGGAGGCUGUAUCAGAAUUGACAUCACCUCCCUCCCCCCAGUGUCACUCCUGUCCUGUAGGACCAGCCAUCACCCCCCCACACUGAGUGUUGCUCCUGUCCUGUGGGACCAGCAGUUAUCCUGGAGACAGGGGAUUCUGAUGAUGGGCCUAUGCUUUGGGCGACUAUGUGACUGAGCAACUCUUGGCAAGUAUAGAAGACAUUAUCAACUGAGGAUGUCCGUCAUCAGGGCUGCUCUGAAGAUGGUGACUGAACUCCACUCUGUGCUCUGCGGAAUAUAUCCUAGAAGAUGAUGACUGCUGGCAGUGGAAGCCCAUCGCUUAGGAAGGUGGAGCACACGGGAUAGCAGUGGCCAGCCAGGCUGGCAUAUGACCACACACAGACAUGCGUACAGGGCUAUCGGCUAUCAGGAGCUGCUGGUGUGAAGACUCAGAAAGGCUCCAGGGACGAUCCUAAAGGACGAUCCGAGGGGCUGCUUCAGAGCAGUCACAGGGGCUGAGGGGGGGUGGUGUCUGACACUGCACUGUGGGGAACACAGCAUUUCCGGUCCUGGUAAACAUCAAAGGUUUUACUGCCACAGAUAGGAACACCCAUGCUGGAGGCUAAGGAGAUGGCACAGUGGUUAAGAGCCAGUACCAAGCUUUCAGAGGACUGGUGUUUGGCUCACACCCACAAGGGGCAGUUCACAACUGCCUGCCACUGUGGCUGCAGAGGAUCAGUCCCCUUCUCCUGGAGACUCUGCAGGCUCUGCACUCAUUUGCACCCCUCCCCCACAAGAGACACACACGAACACGUAAUUAAAUAUU